CAGCUGUCAAAACUGGCAGCCACCUCCCUGAGGUUAACGGAAGAGAUUUCUUCCCUUGAGAACUAAGGUCUCAGUGAGAUUCCUGGACUCACGCGCAGUCAAUUCAUUCUGUCCAUUAGUCUUCUAACUUACGCACUCAUUAUUCAUCUAGCAAAGAUCCCAGACGUGUGACUAGACCCUGUCCAUAAGUGAUUCACAGUCUGGUAGGGAGCUAACCUCUGUACAUCCAGGGCUGAAAAGUAAGAUGAAAUUAAUGAAUGCAGAUAAAGCUCUCUCAAGUUCAAAGGAAAGGAAGGCAUCUUAGCACCACCAAGCUCAAAGAAAGAGGAGAUGACAUGGGCAUUAAGGACUGUUGAGCCUUCCUCAUGAAUGGCACAUCCUGCGUUAAGGACAUUAGGGAAGGUUAUAAGGAAACAAUUAAGAUAUAUGCCCCCUUCUUUGCCUAAAAGUAACUCCCAGUGUGCACCAAUAUAUUGGCUCCUUUGAUAGCCAUCAUUAGAGGAUGCUUCCUGCAAUCAUCUUCCUUCUUAAUCAGUCACCAGGCGUACUUCUCAAACAGGAAAAAAUGGCUUAACCACAGCAAGAAGAGACAAGGGGA
rnacentral:lncRNA from 1 species